CACGUAGGGCGCAAGCGUUGUCCGGAAUUAUUGGGCGUAAAGAGCUCGUAGGCGGUCUGUUGCGUCCGCUGUGAAAACCCGGGGCUUAACCCUGGGCUGGCAGUGGAUACGGACAGACUAGAGGUAGGUAGGGGAGAAUGGAAUUCCCGGUGUAGCGGUGAAAUGCGCAGAUAUCGGGAGGAACACCGGUGGCGAAGGCGGUUCUCUGGGACGGUACUGACGCUGAGACGCGAAAGCGUGG
rnacentral:rRNA from 1 species